rnacentral:lncRNA from 14 species
CAUUAACUAUGGUUCCCACUGGUCAUCAUCUAUCACUACACUAUUACACUAUUUUUUUCUUCUCCUAGCCUUUGACACCAUCAAAAAGUGGAUGGAAGAGAUUUGUCUUUUUCCACGUCUUUACAUUUUUUAUUAUGAUUUUAUUUGUAAGACAGUCCCAGGUGGCCUCAGAAGCAAAGAGACCUAUCUGUCUGCCUGACAUCUGAGUGCUCAGAUUAAAGGCUUGUGCCACCAUGCUAUCUGUAUUUUUCCUGUUUAUGUCUUUACCAUGGGCGUUCAGUGUCCGUGGAGGUCAGUUUAGGACAUUAGAACCCCUAGAACUGGAGUUAGGGAAGCUCAGUCAACCUGUGGGUGUUGUGGUUUGAGCCUCGUCCUGUGUAUGAGACGCUAGGUGCUCAUGGCUGCGCUGUCUCUCCUGCACAUUGUUUUUAUUGGUCUUAGAGAAAGCAGCUGACAUGAAAAGUACACUUGUGGAAUAGAGUGGAGGGGCUCAGGAGCGACAGCCUGGCGUAUCUCACUCGCUUGGCAUAUCUUAUAACAGGAAGUCAAAGGAAAGCUGGCUGGUGCUCCAUUGCGUAUAUGUUGUCCUGUUGGUUCUGAGAUUUACACGAAAUUCUAUGAACAUUACUUUAUACGUUUUAUUUUUAGACAGGGUCUCAAUAUGAACUCACUAUAUAAUAAACCAGGAUGGCCUCCAGUUCAGAGAUUAACCCUGCCUCUCCCUCCUGAACCCUGGGAUGAAAGGCAAGCAUCACCAUGCCCAGACAUGUGUUUUAUUUUUUUCAACCAUGACAUAAGUGAGACCUGUUUUUUCUUGCCUAGAGGAACAUCAAGAAGAUAGUAUGUUGGAUGUGGUUGCACACAAACUGUAGUCCCACCACCACUCACGGAGUGGAGGCAGGCUCUUGGCCUGUGUACAUGGCUCAACCAAACAUUCAGUAUUAAAAACUAGGAAGAUGGGUUCGGUCCCCAGCUCCGAAAAAAAAAGAAAAAAGAAAAAAAAAAA